AUUGAACGCUGGCGGCAGGCCUAACACAUGCAAGUCGAACGAGUGGCGGACGGGUGAGUAAUGUCUGGGAAACUGCCUGAUGGAGGGGGAUAACUACUGGAAACGGUAGCUAAUACCGCAUACCAUCGGAUGAACCCAGAUGGGAUUAGCUAGUUGGUGGGGUAACGGCUCACCAAGGCGACGAUCUCUAGCUGGUCUGAGAGGAUGACCAGCCACACUGGGACUGAGACACGGUCCAGACUCCUACGGGAGGCAGCAGUGGGGAAUAUGGCACAAGGGGCGCAAGCCUGAUGCAGCCAUGCCGCGUGUAUGAAGAAGGCCUUAGGGGUGUAAAGUACUUUCAGCGGGGAGGCGUUACCCGCAGAAGAAGCACCGGCUAACUCCGUGCCAGCAGCCGCGGUAAUUC
rnacentral:rRNA from 1 species